AAAUUGAAGAGUUUGAUCAUGGCUCAGAUUGAACGCUGGCGGCAGGCCUAACACAUGCAAGUCGAACGGUAACAGGAAACAGCUUGCUGUUUCGCUGACGAGUGGCGGACGGGUGAGUAAUGUCUGGGAAACUGCCUGAUGGAGGGGGAUAACUACUGGAAACGGUAGCUAAUACCGCAUAACGUCGCAAGACCAAAGAGGGGGACCUUCGGGCCUCUUGCCAUCGGAUGUGCCCAGAUGGGAUUAGCUAGUAGGUGGGGUAACGGCUCACCUAGGCGACGAUCCCUAGCUGGUCUGAGAGGAUGACCAGCCACACUGGAACUGAGACACGGUCCAGACUCCUACGGGAGGCAGCAGUGGGGAAUAUUGCACAAUGGGCGCAAGCCUGAUGCAGCCAUGCCGCGUGUAUGAAGAAGGCCUUCGGGUUGUAAAGUACUUUCAGCGGGGAGGAA
rnacentral:rRNA from 2 species